GGAAGUAAAAGUCGUAACAAGGUUUCUGUAGGUGAACCUGCAGAAGGAUCAUUAUUUAUAAAAAUGGAGUGCACUUAAUUGUGGCUCUGAUCUUUUUAUAUCAUCUUACCCCAAAACUUGUUUGUGUGACAUCUUUAGGUGUCAUUGCACUCAGGUAUACGUAACAGUUCUGUUACAUUACCCCCCCCACCCCAAUUUUUUUAUUUUUUUUUAUCAACACAAGUUUAAAUUAAGAAUGUAAACAUUUUAAAUUAUGAAAAUAACUUUUAACAAUGGAUCUCUAGGCUCUCAUAUCGAUGAAGAACACAGUGAAAUGUGAUAAGUAAUGUGAAUUGCAGAAUUCAGUGAAUCAUUGAAUCUUUGAACGCACCUUGCACCUUUUGGUAUUCCAAAAGGUACACCUGUUUGAGUGUCAUGAAAAUCUCUCAUCAAAUUAAUUUUUGGUGGAUGUUGAGUGCUGCUGUUAUCUAGCUCACUUUAAAUAUAUAAGUCUUUUUCUAAUUAUGUUGGAUUGACUUGGUGUAAUAAUUAUUUUGAUCAUCAAGGAAAGUAGCAAUACUUGCCAAUGUUUUGGACAAAGGACUCCUAAAUUGAUAUUAUAUUUUUAUUUUUAAGACCUCAAAUCAGGUGGGACUACCUGCUGAACUUAAGCAUAUCAAUAAGCGGAGGA
rnacentral:rRNA from 1 species